rnacentral:rRNA from 1 species
GUCGAGCGGACCAAAUCGGAGCUUGCUCUGGUUUGGUCAGCGGCGGACGGGUGAGUAACACGUGGGCAACCUGCCCGCAAGACCGGGAUAACUCCGGGAAACCGGAGCUAAUACCGGAUAACACCGAAGACCGCAUGGUCUUUGGUUGAAAGGCGGCCUUUGGCUGUCACUUGCGGAUGGGCCCGCGGCGCAUUAGCUAGUUGGUGAGGUAACGGCUCACCAAGGCGACGAUGCGUAGCCGGCCUGAGAGGGUGACCGGCCACACUGGGACUGAGACACGGCCCAGACUCCUACGGGAGGCAGCAGUAGGGAAUCUUCCGCAAUGGGCGAAAGCCUGACGGAGCGACGCCGCGUGAGCGAAGAAGGCCUUCGGGUCGUAAAGCUCUGUUGUGAGGGACGAAGGAGCGCCGUUCGAAGAGGGCGGCGCGGUGACGGUACCUCACGAGGAAGCCCCGGCUAACUACGUGCCAGCAGCCGCGGUAAUACGUAGGGGGCGAGCGUUGUCCGGAAUUAUUGGGCGUAAAGCGCGCGCAGGCGGUUCCUUAAGUCUGAUGUGAAAGCCCACGGCUCAACCGUGGAGGGUCAUUGGAAACUGGGGGACUUGAGUGCAGGAGAGGAGAGCGGAAUUCCACGU